GAUGAACGCUGGCGGCGUGCCUAAUACAUGCAAGUCGAGCGAACAGACGAGGAGCUUGCUCCUCUGACGUUAGCGGCGGACGGGUGAGUAACACGUGUAUAACCUACCUAUAAGACUGGGAUAACUUCGGGAAACCGGAUCUAAUACCGGAGAAUAUAUUGAACCGCAUGGUUCAAUAGUGAAAGACGGUUGUGCUGUCACUUAUCGAUGGAUCCGCGCCGCAUUAGCUAGUUGGUAAGGUAACGGAUUACCAAGGCUACGAUGCGUAGCCGACCUGAGAGGGUGAUAGGCCACACUGGAACUGAGACACGGUCCAGACUCCUACGGGAGGCAGCAGUAGGGUAUCUGACGCAAUGGGCGAAAGCCUGACGGAGCAACGCCGCGUGAGUGAUGACGGUCUUCGGAUCGUAAAACUCUGUUAUUAGGGAAGAACAAAUGUGUAAGUAAAUAUGCACGUCUUGACGGUAACGAAUCAGAAAGCCACGGCUAACUACGUG
rnacentral:rRNA from 1 species